AAGGAGCUUGCUCCUUUGACGUUAGCGGCGGACGGGUGAGUAACACGUGGGUAACCUACCUAUAAGACUGGGACAACUUCGGGAAACCGGAGCUAAUACCGGAUAAUAUGUUGAACCGCAUGGUUCAAUAGUGAAAGAUGGUUUUGCUAUCACUUAUAGAUGGACCCGCGCCGUAUUAGCUAGUUGGUAAGGUAACGGCUUACCAAGGCAACGAUGCGUAGCCGACCUGAGAGGGUGAUCGGCCACACUGGGACUGAGACACGGUCCAGACUCCUACGGGAGGCAGCAGUAGGGAAUCUUCCGCAAUGGGCGAAAGCCUGACGGAGCAACGCCGCGUGAGUGAUGAAGGUCUUCGGAUCGUAAAACUCUGUUAUUAGGGAAGAACAAAUGUGUAAGUAACUAUGCACGUCUUGACGGUACCUAAUCAGAAAGCCACGGCUAACUACGUGCCAGCAGCCGCGGUAAUACGUAGGUGGCAAGCGUUAUCCGGAAUUAUUGGGCGUAAAGCGCGCGUAGGCGGUUUUUUAAGUCUGAUGUGAAAGCCCACGGCUCAACCGUGGAGGGUCAUUGGAAACUGGAAAACUUGAGUGCAGAAGAGGAAAGUGGAAUUCCAUGUGUAGCGGUGAAAUGCGCAGAGAUAUGGAGGAACACCAGUGGCGAAGGCGACUUUCUGGUCUGUAACUGACGCUGAUGUGCGAAAGCGUGGGGAUCAAACAGGAUUAGAUACCCUGGUAGUCCACGCCGUAAACGAUGAGUGCUAAGUGUUAGGGGGUUUCCGCCCCUUAGUGCUGCAGCUAACGCAUUAAGCACUCCGCCUGGGGAGUACGACCGCAAG
rnacentral:rRNA from 1 species